rnacentral:lncRNA from 1 species
AACUUCCUCUUGCUAAACGUGUACAUGCAGCAUCUUGAAUUCGAGACUACCAAAUUACCAUGUUGUUAAAACGUGUAUGAGUUCGAGCGGACGUUGUGAGUUGCAACAUGUAAACUCGAGACUAGGGCCCCCGAAAGGAAAAAACCUGAAGAUAGAGAAAAGGAAUCAAGGUUAUGAAAUGAAGAAUCAUUUUCUCAAUGGUGUGCAUCUGACAAAAUUGAUUCAUUUGAACAAUUUAUUUCAUCCUAUAAAAAUCACAUUCCAAAUGACGUUAUUCCUAUUCAUUCAGGUGAUUUCAUCACUCUUAUUAAUGUGAUGUUAUGACAUAUCCUUCCAU